CUCUGACCUGGGCCAAUCCCAUAUGGGAAUCGGGUCCUACUAUGUCCUAUGCUGACUUCUUGUCUGAAUUCAAAAGGACAUUUGACAUGCCAGGAAGAGUUACCUCCACUGGGAAAGCCUUGUUAAGAAUCAAACAGGGUUCUAGAUGCGUGGCAGAUUAUGCUAUAGAGUUCCUUACUCUGAUGGCAGAGGUGGUAUGGAACAACGACGCACUGGUAACCAUUUUUUAAGAG